rnacentral:rRNA from 1 species
UACGGGGGGGGCAAGCGUUGUUCGGAAUUACUGGGCGUAAAGGGAGCGUAGGCGGUGUGGCAAGUCCGGUGUGAAAUCUCCGAGCUUAACUCGGAGCGGUCAUCGGAAACUGCCGUGCUAGAGUGUGGGAGAGGAGAGUGGAAUCCCCGGUGUAGCGGUGAAAUGCGUAGAUAUCGGGGGGAACACCAGCGGCGAAGGCGGCUCUCUGGACCACAACUGACGCUGAGGCUCGAAAGCUAGGGGAGCAAACAGG